GACGAACGCUGGCGGCGUGCUUAACACAUGCAAGUCGAACGGAAAGGCCUUGCUUUUGUGGGGUGCUCGAGUGGCGAACGGGUGAGUAACACGUGAGUAACCUGCCCUUGACUGUGGGAUAACGUCAGGAAACUGGGGCUAAUACCGGAUAGGAGCUCCUGCUGCAUGGUGGGGGUUGGAAAGUUUCGGCGGUUGGGGAUGGACUCGCGGCUUAUCAGCUUGUUGGUGGGGUAGUGGCUUACCAAGGCUUUGACGGGUAGCCGGCCUGAGAGGGUGACCGGCCACAUUGGGACUGAGAUACGGCCCAGACUCCUACGGGAGGCAGCAGUGGGGAAUAUUGCACAAUGGGCGGAAGCCUGAUGAAGCAACGCCGCGUGCGGGAUGACGGCCUUCGGGUUGUAAACCGCUUUCGCCUGUGACGAAGCGUGAGUGACGGUAAUGGGUAAAGAAGCACCGGCUAACUACGUG
rnacentral:rRNA from 1 species